AUUGAACGCUGGCGGCAUGCCUUACACAUGCAAGUCGAACGGCAGCGCGGGCUUCGGCCUGGCGGCGAGUGGCGAACGGGUGAGUAAUACAUCGGAACGUGCCCUAGAGUGGGGGAUAACUAGUCGAAAGAUUAGCUAAUACCGCAUACGAUCUACGGAUGAAAGUGGGGGACCGCAAGGCCUCAUGCUCCUGGAGCGGCCGAUGUCUGAUUAGCUAGUUGGUGGGGUAAAAGCCUACCAAGGCGACGAUCAGUAGCUGGUCUGAGAGGACGACCAGCCACACUGGGACUGAGACACGGCCCAGACUCCUACGGGAGGCAGCAGUGGGGAAUUUUGGACAAUGGGGGAAACCCUGAUCCAGCAAUGCCGCGUGUGUGAAGAAGGCCUUCGGGCUGUAAAGCACUUUUGUCAGGAACGAAACGGUGGGGGCUAAUAUCCUCUGCUAAUGACGGUACCUGAAGAAUAAGCACCGGCUAACUACGUGCCAGCCGCCGCCGUAA
rnacentral:rRNA from 1 species